GUGUCUCCAGGUGCCCUGAGGACCAUCGAUAUCUACGAUGCCAACACAGGAGAGCUGGCAUGCCAACUACUGGACCCCAACGCCCCUGGCAUCAUAUCUGUCAACAAGUUCAAUCCGAUGGGAGAUGUUUUAGGAUCUGGAAUGGGAGUGAACAUCCUAGUGUGGAACAGAAGUGAGACAUUUGCUGGUAAGCAGCAGAGAGGAGAGCUACAACAGGAAGCAGGAGUCCAGGUUGGCAGAGGUAGAGGCCAGCGGAGGAGAAGA